GCCAGGUGUGGUGGUGCACACCUGUAAUUCCAGAGGCUCUGGAGGCUGAGGCAGGAGUCUUAAAUGAGGUCAGCCUCAGCAACUUGUGAGACCCUGUCUCAA
rnacentral:sRNA from 1 species